rnacentral:tRNA from 1 species
GCCUCGGUAGCUUAGUCUGGAUGAGCGGCUGACUUGUAAUCAGCAGGUCGAGGGUUCAAAUCCCUCCCGGGGCU